CCAAUCAAACUCAGUGAUAGCUGGUUCUCUCCGAAAUAUAUUUAGGUAUAGCCUCGAGCAUUAGCAUGAAGGGGUAGAGCACUGACAGGGCUAGGGCUGCUUACCGCGGUACCAAACCCUAUCAAACUCCGAAUACUUCAUGUGUAACCUCGGGAGUCAGGCGGUGGGUGAUAAAAUCCAUCGUCAAGAGGGGAACAACCCAGACUAGCAGCUAAGGUCCCAAAGUCUUGUCUAAGUGGAAAAGGAUGUGAAGUUGCUGUGACAACCAGGAGGUUGGCUUAGAAGCAGCCACCCUUUAAAGAAAGCGUAACAGCUCACUGGUCUAGCGAUUUUGCGCCGAAAAUAUAACGGGGCUAAGACAAGCACCGAAGCUCUAGGUGCACCUUUUAGGUGCGCGGUAGGAGAGCGUUCCAGUCAGCGUAGAAGCCAUACCGGCAAGGAGUGGUGGAGCGGCUGGAAGUGAGCAUGCAGGCAUGAGUAGCGAGAAAAGAAGUGAGAAUCUUCUUCGCCGUAAACCCAAGGUUUCCUACGCGAUGCUCGUC
rnacentral:rRNA from 1 species